AUUGAACGCUGGCGGAAUGCCUAACACAUGCAAGUCGAGCGGAGUAGCAAUACUCAGCGGCGGACGGGUGAGGAAUACAUAGGAAUCUGCCUUUAGGUGGGGGAUAGCCAGGGGAAACUCUGGGUAAUACCGCAUGAUCUCGUGAGAGCAAAGGGGCGCAAGUCUCGCCUUUAGAGGAGCCUAUGUCUGAUUAGCUAGUUGGCGGUGUAAUGGACCACCAAGGCAAUGAUCAGUAACUGGUCUGAGAGGACGAUCAGUCACACCGGAACUGAGACACGGUCCGGACUCCUACGGGAGGCAGCAGUGGGGAAUCUUGCACAAUGGGCGAAAGCCUGAUGCAGCGACGCCGCAUGGGGGAUGAAGCAUUUCGGUGUGUAAACCCCUUUCGAUCCGGACGAAACCCCGCAAGGGAUUGACGGUACGGAUAUAAGAAGCCCCGGCUAACUACGUGCCAGCCGCCGCAGUAAAAC
rnacentral:rRNA from 1 species